GUCACGGCCAAGUCCAAGAACCACACCACACACAACCAGUCCCGAAAAUGGCAUCAAGAAACCCCGAAUAUUUAAAAAAAAAGAAAGAAAGAAACCCCGGUCACAAAGAUACGGAAUCUCUUAAGGGGUUGACCCCAAGGUCCUGAGGAACACGUGCUUUGCCAAGAAGCACAACAAGAAAGGCCUGGAGAAGAUGCAGGCCAACAAUGGAAGGGCAGUGAGUGCAUGCACAGAGGUCAUCAAGGCCCUGGUGAAGCCUCAGGCCAUCAAGCCCAAGAUGUCAAGAUGCCCCAGCCGCAAACUCAGCGCGUGGCUUUUAUUGCUCACCCCAAGCUUGGGAAGUGGAUUCGAAUCUACAUGGCCAAGGCGCAAAGGCUCUGCCAACUGAAGCCCAAGGUUCAAUCCAAGGCAGAGGCCACAGCUCCAGCUAAGGCCCAGCUUCAGCUCCAGCUCAGGUUCCCAAAGGUGCCCAGGCCCCUGUGAAGGCCCCAUAGGAAAGGCUGCUGCC
rnacentral:lncRNA from 1 species